CCUGUUCCGUAUCCCAUGACCCAGAAGUUAUGGCCGUGCAAAUGCCACGGGUGAGUGCCGCUGUGGUUAGGUUCCAACGUGUUUGCGUUCUGCAAUAUGAGGUCCACCGUCGAGUUAAACUUCAAUCGGUAAAUUGAGUUGGUGUAGGUGGUAUUUGGAUACUUUGGUACGGAGUAGAUGUCGUAGUUCUUAUAGUCGUAGGUGACAGGCGACGAAGUUUGGUUAAAGGCGUUGGUGAAGUUUUUCUUCAAGGAGAUGAGAAAGGGAUAUUCAGGCCAUAUGGAGGACACGUUGUUAACGGACCAUUUCAAUAACCCGUGUUCUCCUGUGUUUUCUGUGC
rnacentral:lncRNA from 1 species